rnacentral:snRNA from 1 species
AGCUUUGCGCAGUGGCAGUAUCGUAGCCAAUCAGGUUUAUCCGAGGCACAAUUAUUGCUAAAUGAAAAUCCUUUGGGCAUCUUGGAGCAUACUUUGUGAAAUGAUUGCAUUAUA